rnacentral:lncRNA from 1 species
GCAGAAUUUGAAUGCAGCUUGGUUAAAGUUGACAAGGAAGUAACUGUCACUUGGUACAAAAAUGCCAAAGAACUGAAGGCAACCAAAGAAUACAUCCAAACCUUUAAUGGAAAGACUGCACGGCUGAAAAUUUUUUCGGCUACUCCUGACACUGCUGGAAUGUACAAAGUCAUUUUCAAAAAUUCAGCUGGUAGUGACGAAUCAUCAGCUGAACUCAAAACAGAAAAACGCACGUGGAGCGAUGAUGAGGAAGAAGAAGAAGAAGUUUCGGAGCAAAAGUCAGUCGAGGAGAAACAAGAAAGAAAGCAAAGUGUCUCUACUAAGGUAAGUUUUUUGCUUCGAAUUCAUCUUCUGGUUUCAUCAAGAAAAUACCAACGUUGAUACCAUGGAUUUCAGCAUUCUAUAUUAGUGAAG